ACGAACAUAUCGCUACCUUCAAUAAUCUUAAUAUAUUAUAUCGAAUACUAGUUAAUAUUCAAUCAAAUACUUAUAGAAGAUAUACCUUUUUCAACAAAAGUUAAAAUUAAACCUGUACGAAACAGUACAAGGAGUAAAAGGAUAAUCAUUGUCAAGCCGAUGAAGCAUGUCCCGUUAAAUGAUAUAUACCCUGAUAAUACUGAUGAAGACGUAGAUUCAUUUGAUUAUACCAAAUGUAAACCGUUGAACGAAAACGAACAAAUUUUGCUUAGAUCGGAAUUCGUCACUGUAAAAUGUUUUCAACACGACGCGACUACGACUUAUGUUAUAUAUAAAGAUGCGUAUAUAUUUGUCAAGAAGAAAAAUGUAACUUCACACCCGAUCGUCAAUAACUGCAAAGAGAGAUAUAAUGUUCUAGUUAUUGGAAUGGACUCGCUCUCCCUUUCACGAUUCGAACAAACCAUGCCACGAACUACAAAGUUUUUUAAAGAUAAUUAUUGGCUAGGAUACCGCGCUUUUAACAAGAUCGAGGUAGACGCUUUUCCUAAUUUAAUAGCCACUCUUACUGGGCUAGAUAUGACAGGUUUCUCUGAAAAAUGUGGGCAAGAUAUGAUGAAGUGCAACAAGCAAUUUAUAUGGAGUAAAUUCAAAGAAAUUGGUUACGUGACAGCCUACGCAGAAGACUACAUAUCCUUACCAGAAAUGUUUAAUAACGGCUAUGAAUUUCCCAAAAAUCCAACUGAUCAUUAUCCGAGAGCUUUAUUUGUAAAUGAAGAGCACAUUGUAAACCACUCAUUGGUGUGCACUGGACGACAAAGUUCAGGACACCAGUUACUAAAUUACGCGUUAGAUUUUGCUCUUACUUACAGAAGUGAUUCUUUCUUUGGUCUUUUCUGGAUACACUCUUUCAGCCAUAACCUUAAAAGUCCCUUAAUCGAAGUUGAUAAACAUGUUGAGAACUUUUUCAAUCAAUUGAGUUAUACGGGCGUGUCAAGAAACACCUUUAUCAUAUUGAUGAGUGCUCACGGGAUACUCGUGGGCGACUCUCGGUUAAACCCAGAUUCCUUUUAUGAUGAGCGAAUGCCAGCCCUUUUCUUAUUACCUGCAUCGACAUUCAAAAACGUUUACCUCGAUAUGUUCAAAUCUUUGGUAAUUAAUCAGGGUAGAUUAAUUACUCCUUUUGAUCUUCAUAAAACUUUAAUGACGAUCAAACAGCUAUCAAGUUGUAGUAAUUCCACAGUCAUUUCUGGAACUUGCACAAAGUGUCAGAGCUUAACUGAAACAAUGGACAACAAUCGAACUUGUAAUGAUGCAGCGAUUCAUGAAAAAUGGUGUACUUGUCGUAAGAUGUAUCCCAUUGAUACGCAUAACGAUUUCGGCGUGAAGAGCGUUUUGCACGUCGUCUCGUACUUGCAAUCUAUCAUAAAAUCUAUAAAGACUCGACAAUGUUGGUCGUGCUCCAGGCUAUCUUUGAAGAAGAUCAUAAGGAUGCAUUUUUACUACGAUCAAACUAAAAUUAAUUUGUUUUAUGUGGUUGCAUUUUCUAUGACACCUGGCGAUAUUAUUUAUGAGGCGACUGUAGCGCAGAAAAAAUCUGAAUUUCAUGUGGUGGAUCCCGUCAGCCUUCUAUCUGAUAUAAAACAUAUCGGUAAAGCCCCGAUGAUGACUGGCUUCUACAUAACCUUGGCAAAUUUAAAUGGCGUUAUCUUGUCUCGACGCCAGAAAAAGAUGUUCUCAGCAGUAAGUUUCCCUCAGUCCUGA